rnacentral:miRNA from 1 species
UUCUCUAAGCAUUGGCAAAGUCCUCACAGUUUCAGCAUUGCCUGUUAUCCCAGAACUUGGGAGGCUGAGGCAGGAGGAU